rnacentral:rRNA from 1 species
CCUACGGGAGGCAGCAGUGGGGAAUAUUGGACAAUGGGGGGAACCCUGAUCCAGCCAUGCCGCGUGUGUGAAGAAGGCCCUCGGGUUGUAAAGCACUUUCAGUGAGGAAGAACGCCUGGUGGUUAAUACCCAUCAGGAAAGACAUCACUCACAGAAGAAGCACCGGCUAACUACGUGCCAGCAGCCGCGGUAAUACGGAGGGUGCGAGCGUUAAUCGGAAUUACUGGGCGUAAAGCGCGCGUAGGUGGCUUGAUAAGCCGGUUGUGAAAGCCCCGGGCUCAACCUGGGAACGGCAUCCGGAACUGUCAAGCUAGAGUGCAGGAGAGGAAGGUAGAAUUCCCGGUGUAGCGGUGAAAUGCGUAGAGAUCGGGAGGAAUACCAGUGGCGAAGGCGGCCUUCUGGACUGACACUGACACUGAGGUGCGAAAGCGUGGGUAGCAAACAGGAUUAGAUACCCGUGUAGUC